AGGCCUCAAUAUUCAUUGCCUUCAGUUUGAACAGUUGGAUUUUGAUCUAAAGAUAAUUGUCAAUAAAACCGAGGAUCCUUUCUACAUAGGCGGACGUUAGGCCUCAAUACUCAUUGCCUUUCAACAGUUGGAUUUUCAUCUAAACACCGAUCACUAUAAAACUUGGGCUUUUGUCUUUCCAAGGGAAACUGACCUCGAUCAGGAGAUUUCAGUGAAGAUCCUUUGUUUACUUUAAUCGCGGACAUUAGACCUCGAUAUCCAUUAUCUUUGACAGUUGGAUUUUCAUCAAAUGGCCGAUCACUAUAAAACUGAGGCUUCUGUCUUUCGAAGUUGACUGUUGACACCGCAGACUUUACAAAGAAAGUCG